rnacentral:rRNA from 1 species
ACAUGCAGUCGAGCGAACAGAUAAGGAGCUUGCUCCUUUGACGUUAGCGGCGGACGGGUGAGUAACACGUGGAUAACCUACCUAUAAGACUGGGAUAACUUCGGGAAACCGGAGCUAAUACCGGAUAACAUAUUGAACCGCAGGGUUCAAUAGUGAAAGGCGGCUUUGCUGUCACUUAUAGAUGGAUCCGCGCCGUAUUAGCUAGUUGGUAAGGUAACGGCUUACCAAGGCAACGAUACGUAGCCAACCUGAGAGGGUGAUCGGCCACACUGGAACUGAGACACGGUCCAGACUCCUACGGGAGGCAGCAGUAGGGAAUCUUCCGCAAUGGGCGAAAGCCUGACGGAGCAACGCCGCGUGAGUGAUGAAGGUCUUCGGAUCGUAAAACUCUGUUAUCAGGGAAGAACAAAUGUGUAAGUAACUGUGCACAUCUUGACGGUACCUGAUCAGAAAGCCACGGCUAACUACGUGCCAGCAGCCGCGGUAAUACGUAGGUGGCAAGCGUUAUCCGGAAUUAUUGGGCGUAAAGCGCGCGUAGGCGGUUUUUUAAGUCUGAUGUGAAAGCCCACGGCUCAACCGUGGAGGGUCAUUGGAAACUGGAAAACUUGAGUGCAGAAGAGGAAAGUGGAAUUCCAUGUGUAGCGGUGAAAUGCGCAGAGAUAUGGAGGAACACCAGUGGCGAAGGCGACUUUCUGGUCUGUAACUGACGCURAUGUGCGAAAGCGUGGGGAUCAAACAGGAUUAGAUACCCUGGUAGUCCACGCCGUAAACGAUGAGUGCUAAKKGUUAGGGGGUUUCCGCCCCUUAGUGCUGCAGCUAACGCAUUAAGCACUCCGCCUGGGGAGUACGACCGCAAGGUUGAAACUCAAAGGAAUUGACGGGGACCCGCACAAGCGGUGGAAGCAUGUGGUUUAAUUCGAAGCAACGCGAAGAACCUUACCAAAUCUUGACAUCCUUUGACCGCUCUAGAGAUAGAGUCUUCCCCUUCGGGGGACAAAGUGACAGGUGGUGCAUGGUUGUCGUCAGCUCGUGUCGUGAGAUGUUGGGUUAAGUCCCGCAACGAGCGCAACCCUUAAGCUUAGUUGCCAUCAUUAAGUUGGGCACUCUAAGUUGACUGCCGGUGACAAACCGGAGGAAGGUGGGGAUGACGUCAAAUCAUCAUGCCCCUUAUGAUUUGGGCUACACACGUGCUACAAUGGACAAUACAAAGGGCAGCUAAACCGCGAGGUCAAGCAAAUCCCAUAAAGUUGUUCUCAGUUCGGAUUGUAGUCUGCAACUCGACUACAUGAAGCCGGAAUCGCUAGUAAUCGUAGAUCAGCAUGCUACGGUGAAUACGUUCCCGGGUCUUGUACACACCGCCCGUCACACCACGAGAGUUUGUAACACCCGAAGCCGGUGGAGUAACCAUUUAUGGAGCUAGCCGUCGAAGGU